rnacentral:rRNA from 1 species
AAAGCGAGCGGCGGAUGGGUGAGUAACACGUGGGGAACCUGCCCCAUAGUCUGGGAUACCACUUGGAAACAGGUGCUAAUACCGGAUAAGAAAGCAGAUCGCAUGAUCAGCUUUUAAAAGGCGGCGUAAGCUGUCGCUAUGGGAUGGCCCCGCGGUGCAUUAGCUAGUUGGUAAGGUAAAGGCUUACCAAGGCGAUGAUGCAUAGCCGAGUUGAGAGACUGAUCGGCCACAUUGGGACUGAGACACGGCCCAAACUCCUACGGGAGGCAGCAGUAGGGAAUCUUCCACAAUGGACGCAAGUCUGAUGGAGCAACGCCGCGUGAGUGAAGAAGGUUUUCGGAUCGUAAAGCUCUGUUGUUGGUGAAGAAGGAUAGAGGUAGUAACUGGCCUUUAUUUGACGGUAAUCAACCAGAAAGUCACGGCUAACUACGUGCCAGCAGCCGCGGUAAUACGUAGGUGGCAAGCGUUGUCCGGAUUUAUUGGGCGUAAAGCGAGCGCAGGCGGAAGAAUAAGUCUGAUGUGAAAGCCCUCGGCUUAACCGAGGAACUGCAUCGGAAACUGUUUUUCUUGAGUGCAGAAGAGGAGAGUGGAACUCCAUGUGUAGCGGUGGAAUGCGUAGAUAUAUGGAAGAACACCAGUGGCGAAGGCGGCUCUCUGGUCUGCAACUGACGCUGAGGCUCGAAAGCAUGGGUAGCGAACAGGAUUAGAUACCCUGGUAGUCCAUGCCGUAAACGAUGAGUGCUAAGUGUUGGGAGGUUU